AUGAAGAGGUGAAGCAUCACAGUGGUAAACAUACCACUGUCCCAACCCUUGUUUAAAACAUGUUGCCAGCAUCAAAAUUGAAGAAGUAUAUAUACACCAAAUGUCAUCUGUAUUUUUCAAGAUUUAUAUUUUGUCUAGGUCGCUUUUCCAACUAAAUAUGGCAUUCAACAUUUGUUCAGUAUUUUAUCACAUUCAGUUGUUAUUAGUAUUUUACACAACGUCCCAGGUUUUUUCUUUUUUGGGGAAUGUAUAUCAACCGUGUGGAGAAUGUUUUUCAUUAUUGUUCUGUUUAGAGAGCCGAAUCCUUCAAUAGCAUAUUGAAGCGGACGUGGAUCAAGAAGUGGCUGACAAGAUUUGAGGGCAUGAUGGAGUCUGGCAUCCUCAAACUGGACAACCCUGUACACAUAAAUUGCUUGCAGUAUACACAUCUGCCAUUGCUUCAGGAAGACUUAAACCGUGAACGAACAGUUUGGAACACGCACGACAUCAGAAAACAACGGCACGCGCCAGGUCCAUUCGGGAAGCCAGAUGUCAUGUUCGACUCCCCACCUCCUGGCUUUGCUAAUAUGCUGUGCCCAGUUGAUGAUGACCUUCUCGACUAUUCACUACAAAUGCAUGUCAGUGAAGAAGACGAACACUUACAGGUCGCAAACCAAGAGUUUCGGGAACUGUGUGGGGCCAUUUUAAUCAACAGCGGUUUUCCGCACACCCUAAAUGGUUGCUUUGCUGCUUACCUUAAAUUAGUUGAGAAUAUUACAAAUUUGAUGAUACAAUACAGGCUGCAAACACCCUGUACAUUUGCUGAGGCAAACGAAUUAUAUGAAAUUCUGUUGAGGGAUAGAGAGUAAAUAAAAAGGGGUCUGGGUUGUAAUCAAUUAUGACAUGCUCUUUAUUAAAGUGGAUUCUGUUGCAAGAUCAGUGGUGGACGAAGUACAUUGAUUAUGUACUUAAGUGAAAGUAUAGAUACCUUGUGUCAAAUAUUACUUGAGUAAAAGUGAAAGUACCCACUUUGAAUUUUCACUUAAGUAGAAGUAUAAAAGUAUUUGCCUUCACAUAUACUUAAGUAUUAAAAGUAAAAGUACUUCAAUGAAUUAUGGUUCUAAUGGCUUAAUUAUAAUUAUAAUUUAUCAUUUCCACAUCAAAGCUCCUGCUAAAUCAGCUUACCGGUAUAUAAGGUGAACUACUAAUGCCACUCUUCAAAUAGUUUCUUACAUUUCUCUAUUUGCUUAGAAGCUAUCUACAGUGGGGAGAACAUGUAUUUGAUACCAUGCUGUAGUUGCCUAAAAAAAGAAAUAUAAAAUCAUCAUUUGACAAUUGAUCUUAAUGCCUUAAUUCAAAAAAUGAGUAAAAAUCAAACUGCAAACAAACAGAUUGCCAUGGUAGUUUUUCCAGUAGGCCUAUUAGCCUGCCUGUUUGAUGCUCAUUGAGCUCAAUGCAGGCCUAUACUGGAAAAAGCACCAUGCCAAUCUCUAGUUGUGGUGAAGGGUAUGAUGAUGUGGGGCUAUUUUAAUUCCAACGACCAAGGGAAUGGGAAAAGGGAAUUUAUCAGGAUGCAUAUAUCCUGGAUCCAUGAAAUAGCUGUCCUUUAAAAAUAAAAAUCUACCUGCCCCUGUGUUAAAUUCCCAUAGGGUUACAUAGGGGCUCAAAUACUUCCUUCCCCCUAGCAUUUAGGAAGAACAUUUAUUUAUUUACGAUACAUUCUUCAAUCACAAAGAGAAUUGGUGUCCUUAGCCCCCCCUUAGCCCCCCCCCCCCCAUUAUGAUAAUAAUGACAACGUAAUUUUGUUGUAGAAAAUACAUUUGUUAAGAACUAUGAUGCUGUUUGAUUAAUUUAUAAAUGGUACACUGUCACUUUAAGACUU